rnacentral:rRNA from 1 species
AGUGAACGCUGGCGGUAGGCCUAACACAUGCAAGUCGAACGGCAGCACAGUAAGGGCUUGCUCUUACGGGUGGCGAGUGGCGGACGGGUGAGGAAUACAUCGGAAUCUACUUUUUCGUGGGGGAUAACGUAGGGAAACUUACGCUAAUACCGCAUACGACCUACGGGUGAAAGCAGGGGAUCUUCGGACCUUGCGCGAUUGAAUGAGCCGAUGUCGGAUUAGCUAGUUGGCGGGGUAAAGGCCCACCAAGGCGACGAUCCGUAGCUGGUCUGAGAGGGUGGAUCGACACCCUGGAAGUGAGGAACAGCCCCGACUCCUGCGGGGAGACACGGUCGGGAAUAUUGGACAAUGGGCGCAAGCCUGAUCCAGCCAUACCGCGUGGGUGAAGAAGGCCUUCGGGUGGUAAAGCCCUUUUGUUGGGAAAGAAAAGCAGCAGGUUAAUACCCCGCUGUUCUGACGGUACCCAAAGAAUAAGCACCGGCUAACUUCGUG